UAAGGAAUAUUGCUCAAUGGGAGAAAUCCUGAAGCAGCAACGCCGCGUGGAGGAUGAAGGGUCUAUGACUUGUAAACUCCUGUAAAGAAGGAAAAAAUUCCCAUUUGAUGGGAGAUGAUGGUACUUCUGGAGUAAGCCCCGGCUAACUACGUGCCAGCAGCCGCGGUAAUACGUAGGUGGCAAGCGUUGUCCGGAUUUACUGGGUGUAAAGGGAGCUCAGGCGGAUUUGUAAGUCAGAGGUGAAAUCUUACAGCUUAACUGUGAAACUGCCUUUGAUACUGCAAGCCUAGAGUAUGGAAGAGAGUGAUGGAAUAUCUGGUGUAGCAGUGAAAUGCGUAGAUAUCAGAUAGAACACCAAUGGCGAAGGCAGUCACUUGGUCCAUUACUGACGCUAAAGCACGAAAGCGUGGGUAGCAAACA
rnacentral:rRNA from 1 species